AGGCUGCUCUGAGUGUCCAGAUCCAGGGAUGAAAUAGGGAAAAGAGGGCAUCACUUGCUACCAAGCUUCUUGGUAAAUUCUAUUUAGGGAGUUCCUUGUCUUCCCUCUCCAUCCUUCUAACGUGGCUCUUUGGUAAGAACAAAAUGAAGGCUGGAGAUGUCUCAGAAGCCUCAGCCCAUAGUCCAGGGAUACUUUAAAGGCUCGUCUUCCAGACAAAAGUACCCACGGGAAGGAAGGCUUAGCCUGCUCCUGAGAGCUGCUUCUGUAACUUGCUGAUGAGCAAAAUGGUCUGAAGUACUUUAAUCUUUUUCAGAUUUGCUGUCAGCAGCUCUGCAGCUGCUCAGGUCAAGAGCCUGGUUUACCCAGCACCAAGUGCCUGGGAUCCUCAGAAGAAAUUCACAGACUACCUCACCACAAUGUGAAGAAAGUGCCUUCCAGUGUCACUGGAACUGCAGAGAUGUCCUAGACAGCAGAAUCACAGGGCACCUCCAUAGACCCAGUGCUCACACUAAGUGCCUUUUUCAACCUCCUAUAGGCAUCCCUAACUCCAGAUCUGACAUCUACAAUGCUUGCUCUAAAACUUGAAGCUUUUGAAUGAUGGCAUAACAGAGAGCAGAGAGACACUACCAUCCCUUGACAGAGAGCUGAAGGAGAGGAGCUCAGAACACUUCCAGAAGCAUCUUACCACGAAGGCAGUACCUGUAUAGUAUAAUUGCCUUUCAAAGGAGCUGUUAACAACCAUCACAUUAGCCACGUGGUUUCCACACUCAACUUAGGAGGUGACUGUCUUAAUUAACUUUCUAUUGGUGUGAUUAAACAGCAUGGCCAAAGGCAAUGUGGGGAGGUAAGUAUUUAUUUUAUCUCCCAGAUUGCAACCCAUCAUCAAAGGGAGUCAGAGUAGGAGCUCAAGGCAUGAACCUGGAGACAGAAGCCAUGGAAGAACACUACUUACUGGUUUGCUUUCCAAGCUCAUGUUCACCUACCCUUCUUAAUCCUCUCAGACCACCUACCAUGUAGCAUGUAGUUUCUGCCACUCGACUUUAAGCUCCAGGUGGACCGAGCUACCAGCCCCUGCCCAGGAGCCACCCUGGAUCUGCAGAUGAAACAUACACACACAUUAACUUAUUUUAAAUAUGUUUUGGCUCAAUGGCCUUGCUCUUCUAAGCCUCUCUCAGCUAGCAUGCCCCUCUAUUCACUCCCAGCUUAAAACUUCCAAAUCUUCCCUUACCUUAGUUGCUCAGUUACCUUUAGUUCCAGCUCAGUAACUCUAAAUCUGAUCCCAACAUAGUUGCAUUUCUAAUUUCUUGCCUGCUACCCCAGGUUCAGUCAGGGAAGCAGGCACAGACAGUGGGAGAUGAGCACUGAACAUUGCCUUGGUUUGUACUGCCUCACUAUUCUUUGUUAUGGACAUGCGUGUGUUGGUUACACAGCAUUGUUAAUCUCCACUAGUGGAGAUCCCAGAGAGAAACUGGUUGUGAGGUUCCUGUGGCAGCUUGGUUGGUGAGCCUGGCGGUUUCUUCAGGAUUAAACUACAGCUGCUGGUUUGUGCCUGGUGUCUGCCUGCUGAAAGGAAUGAUCUGUAGCUACUGGUUUGUGGGUGGUAUCUGCCUGCCUCCAGGACUUCUGCAGCUGCUGAGUCUUAUUUGGUGUUUGCUAUGAGACUGAACUGCUGCCAAAGAAAAUUGAACUUGCCCCCAAAGAACUAUUGCUGAACAGGUUCACUUCCCAUAUCCCAAGAUUUGUUCUCUUUCACUACCUCUGCUGGGUAAUGGGCUAGAGGAGAUGACAGACCCUUAUUAAAAGAAGGUUGAAAAACAUUUAUGCCAACAGAUGCCAUACAAAAUUAGUAAACAAUACUCUAAAAAUAUCAAAAUCAAGCCAUACAUGGUGGCACAUUGCUUGUGAAACCACCACUUGGGAGGUAGAGGCAGGGGAUUGUGAGUUUAAGGCUGCAUAUCAAGAUCCUAUUGUGAGACAAACAUGUGAACAAAGAAGCUAAACUAUCAAAGUCAAGAAACAUAAGGAGGGUGCUUACAACACUUAACACAAUGCAAAUGCUAUAAACAGUUAUUAUAUUGUUUAGGGAAAUUUGAUAAGGACAAAGUCAAAGUCUGUGCAUAUUUACCACGAGGGUAUUUUUCCUAGAUACUUCCCACCCAUGUUUUGUUAAAGCUGAGGAUUCAGAAUCCAUGACUAUAAAUGAUAAACUGUUCUCAGAAAGUGGGAGAAACCUCUUUAUUUAUUCAACUCUCCAGGAGUCUGCUGGUAGCUAUUGCCCCCUUGCAUACCAUCUUGGAUGCCCUUUUUUAUGGACUUCAAUCUAUCCACAGUGUCUAUUUUACAGCUAGAACUAGUCUGUUUCUUACAGAACAAUUACACUUUCUCCUUUGAUGCCAUGGGUAAAGCAGUGGGAUGCUGGGGAGGCACCAAGUUCCCUUCCUUUCUGGCUCCUGUCCUGCCAAGAGUUUGCACUUCAUCAUGAAGAUAGCUAUCUUUUCUCAGCUUCUUGGUAUUGUUACUGGGUAUAGAUCUGGAUAAUACUUUGUAGACACCAAGUACUUGAUAAUGGGUGUUAUUCUAAUGAUCUUCCUCUUCUAUGGCUGUAGUUGCUAAAAUGACAUGUACAGAUUGUGCAGAGCCAAAUACAAUGAAACAAUUCUGAACAUACAGACUGGGCAGUGUCCUGAAAUCUCUGGGUGAAUCCAGAGGGCUUCCGAGGACAUCAGAUGGGCAGAUCACUGCUAGGGCUUUCUUCCAAACAAUAUGUAGUGAGCCAGAGGAAAUGCCUUCAGAAGAGCUUGCUGUUCAGCUACAACACCCUGUUCUGUUUUAAAGGGCAAUGGGAGGCUCUCCACUGUCACACCUUGAAGCCAGGGGGAAACCUGGGUAGACUUUCACCUUUGCUCAUUUCUAGGAUUUUUGGUUUUGCUUUGUUUUGUCUUUAUCAUCAGUUUUGAAAUUUGCCCUCUAAUCAACAGACUUCCAACAUACUAUUCAUAACACCUGCCAAGUCAAGAUGGUCACAGUUCCUCAAGUUGUUUCCUAGGAACUUGUUGAAAAACCAGAUGCCAAA